rnacentral:rRNA from 1 species
GCCAUCAUUGAAUUCUACUACAUUACGUAGAUGAAAGUGUGAUGUUGGCGUCAAUAUCUAUAGUGCUGAUAAGUGAUGUAAGUUCGAUUGAACACGACAUCCCAAAGAGGGUGAAAGGCCCUUGACAUCACUACUUCGGUAUUCUGAUAAUGACGGUUGAGUAGAAUUGCUUGAGACCGCAGUUCGAAGAUGUGUGGCAAACCCCAUACAAGUCUAGAUAUAGUUGCGAGGCCGAUAGCGAACAAGUACCAUGAGGGAAAGUUGAAAAGUACUCUGAAAAGAGAGUUCACAAGUGCGUGAAACUGUACACUGUAAAGCGAAUGAUUGAGCGAUUAGAAUGUCGAUCACUCAAGUGUCAUGUAUGUUUCAAAGGUUUGCUGAAUCUUUGCUUGAAUUGUCAUGUGCAUGAUACUGUACUUGAUUGUGUCUGGAAUUGCUUGGUGGGCUAGCGCUAACAUAGCGAUCUGACGGAAAAGAGUCUCUUUUUGAGUCUCUUAGAGAAGAUUGCUUUUGAACUGUUUUAUGCAGUCGGUAAUGCUUGCCCACUUCUGAAAUAUGCCUGUAACUGUGUACACCGUAUGUGUGCAACUAUCGUAAAGUGAAAUUGUGCAUGUGUUGUCAGUAUGUUAAAAGGUUCGUGAAAAGCAAUUGUCUUUGCUGUGAAUCAUUCGAACCGUCUUGAAACACGGACUAAGGAGUUCAACUCGAACGCAAGUCGUUUUCUGAAACGAAAUUUAAAGGCAAAGUGAAAACAACUCUUGAUGAGAUGUUAACUGAUGCGUACGCGCUGAUGAUAAGCACAAGUGAUGAGUAGCACAGUUGUAAUUGUUGCUGACUGCACCUGAGCGUUCAGGUUGAGACCCGAAAGAUGGUGAACUAUGCCUGAGUAGAAUGAAGCCAGGGGAAACUCUGGUGGAGGUUCGUAGCGG